rnacentral:rRNA from 1 species
UACGAAGGGGGCUAGCGUUGCUCGGAAUCACUGGGCGUAAAGCGCACGUAGGCGGAUUGUUAAGUCAGGGGUGAAAUCCUGGAGCUCAACUCCAGAACCGCCUUUGAUACUGGCGAUCUUGAGUCCGGGAGAGGUGAGUGGAACUGCGAGUGUAGAGGUGAAAUUCGUAGAUAUUCGCAAGAACACCAGUGGCGAAGGCGGCUCACUGGCCCGGUACUGACGCUGAGGUGCGAAAGCGUGGGGAGCAAACAGG